GCCCCGGCUGGAGGCUCCGGGCUCAGCGUGGGAGCGGGUCCUGCUCAGGGGUGGGGCUGGGGGGUCCCCGCGAGGGAGCCCAGCAGAUGUCACUGCAGCCCAGCAAGGGCUUUGCUUGCACCCCACGUGUUGCUGUUUGAGGGGAUGCUCCUGCCCUGCGACCCUGGGAGGACCUGGGAGAAGGUCCAGGAGGACCUGGGAAAGGGGGUGACAUCCCCUGCCUGUGCUGUGACACUCUUGCUUUGUGACCUGGAGGGCCUGUUCUCCUGGCAGGGGUUCCAGGGGAUGGAGGGGGUGGUGCCUUGCUCUCUGCAGGCCAGGUAACAGACACCAAGCAGAAAUGUGUUGUGUCCCUUCCCUGGGGGACCAGGCAAAUGGGCUCCUUCCUCCUCCUCUUCCUCCCCAGCAUGAGGGCUGGUGUCCUCUGAACCCUUUGCUGCCCUUUGAGGGAGAAGUGCUGACUCCAGAUGUUUCCCUAAAUGAGAAACUUCUGCAAACAACCCUGGAUUAGAUUUGAUUUUUUUUUUUUUUGGAAGAAAUUCUUGGCUGUGAGAGUGGAGAGCCACUGGCACAGGUUGCCCAGAGAAGCUGUGGCUGCCCCAUCCCUGGAAGUGUCCAAGGCCAGGUUGGGUGGGGCUUGGAGCAACCUGGGCUAAUGGAAGGUGUCCCUGCCCACGGCAAGGGUUGGAAUGAGGUGAUCUUUGGGAUUCCUUCCAACCCAAACCACUCUGUGAUUCUAUGAUUUUUGCUUUCUUGGCCCAUUGGUCAUCAGUGAUCUUCAGCCUGCAGUGGGGCUGGAAGGAUGGGGGAGACCCAGCUGCCAGCACUUGCUGCUCCCUCUGCUCUCCUGCCCUUGCCAAACCUGUGGCUGGAGCUGCUGCCUGCAUCCCUGUCCUGGACCAUGACAUCACCCUUCCCUUGGCCCUUGGGGUGUGCAAAAGCCCUUUGUUGGGCCAGUGUGCCAAACAGGAGCAGAGCAGCCCCCAGCCCCUCCUCAUCCUUCACAUCCUGCAGAAGCUGAAUGGGGCAGGGUGGAGAAAAGGAGGAGGACCCUCAAAGGUGGAAAGAAAUCCCUCCAGCACCUCUUAAAGGUGGGAGAAGAGAGGGAACAAGAUGGGAGGAGAGGCUGUGAGCAGGAGAGAGCUGGUGCUUGCAGCACAGGGGGGGCUGUGUUUGUGUGUGUGUGUGCACUGACUUUCCAUCAGGCUGAUGAAAGGACUGGGAGCUCUUGAAGCUGGAGCCAAGGUGAGCAACCUGUGGCUGUCCCAGGGGUGCUGGGGAGGGGAAGGCCUGAGUUUACUCAGGAACAGCAGGGAUGCUCUGCCAGGAGCUGGGAUGUUCAGUAAUAUCUUGCCAAGGAGGGAUCAGGAUUCAGCAUCCCAGCCUGUGCUGUAGGGAGGAAUGCUGGCCAGGCAGCUCCACUGUCAGCCCCCAGAUCAGUGCUCCAGGGGGAUGCACUGGCUGGGGGUGCAGGAUGGAGGGGGUUUGCCUCCUCAGCAGGUCCCUGGGGCUGGUCCCUGCCGUGGUGGGGCUUUGGUGGAAGGGACAGCCCAGACUCCAUCUGGGAAGCAGUGGCUUUGUGCUGCUCUGGGUGAGGGGUCUCUGGUCCCUCCUGCCCCAGCAGCGAGAGGGUUUUUCCUCCUCCUGUGUGGAAAAGAAGCUCCCACUGCCAUCACACAGCUCUUCCUGCCCUGCCUAGGGUCUUGCUUGCACCCCACCUCCAAAUUUCCAAGGGCUUCCUGGGCUCUCUUGUCACCCCCACAUUGCAUUUGGGAUUUGUAUUUAAUUCUUAUUUCUCUCUCCAUAGGUUUGUCCCUGUCACUGCUGCUGUUCCCAGCUUUCCAGCAGGUUUGCUCUGCAGAGAGCUGCAGGUUGGCUAUGAAAUAUGACAAAGCAUUCAUUUAAAUGCACACCAUGAUGUCGGCGAGUCCAUUAGGGGAAUUAAUUUGAAUGGCUGGCAUUUAAUAAACAGCCUCGUCCCUCCUCUCCACACACAGCCCCCACCACCACCCCCCCCCACCACCACUGCUGGCAUCUUGGAAGGGUUAAAAAGAAACCACAUGUGGAUAUUGGAAGGAGUGGGGAGCAGGUAUCUGGGUCUGGGGAGUGGUGGUGGUGGUGGUGGGGAAAUAAUAAAAGAGAUCUGGUGUUAUGAGAAGAAUUGCAGUUUGUUUUGUUCACAAUACAAAAAAAAAAAAAAAAGGCACAUGUGGAAGGGGUUUGGGUUCACGGGGUGUUUGGUGCACGGAGAAAACAAGGGGGUGAAGGAGGAGGACACGCUCCGGCCGGAGGGUCCCAGCCUGGCUCCGAGCACGCCGGGCUGGGGGGAGGCGAGGGGGCUCCAGGGACGUGGCUCCCCAUAUGGUGUGUAUUACAAGCUCCUUUCUAGUUGUAAAGAUUAAUUUAAAGCCUUUCUCACCUCCCCCCCAUCCCUCUUCCAUUGACAAAUGAACAUCUGGGCUGAAUGCUGCCCAGAUCCUAAUCAAAGCAUUUUUUCCAGGGCCGUUGUCUGCCUUUAUGGCUAUCUGCUCUUCGGGUGCUCUGCAGUUCCAAUGCACUUGGCAAUUCAGCCUGUAAAUACCCCUCUCCGGGAUUUAUGAUUCGGGAUAAUGUGAUUUUUCUCUUUGCCUCUGGAUUCGUUUGUUUGGUUUAGUUUAACGACAUUUCCUUGUCUCUGCAUAAGUGAGGGCAUGCAGGGAGGUUUUUUUUUUUCCCCUCCCCUCUUUGCAGGGAUUUAUUAGCAAUGAGCAAAAAUGGCUUUUUUUGUGGGGGCUGGGGUGGACACACUGGGGGGGGCCAAAGCCAGCCUUGAAUCCCCAGUGAGCAAGCCCAGUCAUCCCAAAACCAUCUAUUUUUUCCUACAGAAAGCUUGUUUUUGAGGUUUUACCGAGAAAGCAGCUUUCCACCAAAGCAAAGCCAAGCCCUUUCCACGAUGUUUGAGGGCUGCUUCAUCAGGGAGAGGCAGUAGGAGGCACAGUCCAGUAUGGAAAAGCCGUUUGCUCCCCAAAAUGAGGCUGGAGAAGCCAAAUGAGAUGCUUGAAAAACUGGGAGGUUUGUGACUGGAAUCCCAUUCCCAUCAGACUUGAUUUUUUUUCCCCUGCAAGCUCCAGUUUGGGAGUUAAAGGAUUAAUAUAUAAAACCUUAGAUGCUGAGUAAUGUUUGUCAUGCCCUGGGUGCUGUAGGAAAGGAUGGUAGAAAAGAUGGGGCAAAAAGGCAGGAUCACCAUGGUGGAAAGCUCUUGGCUGCUCCUCCUUGGCUCUCCAGGACAAGGUGCAACCUGGAUUUUGGUGAUGCAGGGCUGAGAAUCAUCCAUCACUGGGACACUCUCCACCCAGGGAUGUCACUGGGGAAGCAGAGAUGCAGAGCGCUUGGCACCUCCUGCCUCUUUUUCAUCCCUUUCCUCCUUGGUUCCCUCCAAGUGAGCAGGAAGCAAGGCUGCUGACCAUGGAUCUUCCCAGCAAUGCCACUGCUGUCCUGUCCAUCCCAAGGUCAGGGUGAAGUCUGGCAUCCAUCCACGGCCGAGCCGGUGCAUCCAUGAGGUGAGAGUGGCCACCCACCAGGGAAGAGGUCGAGGGAGGGUGUGUUGGAGCUUCGUGCAAUGACGGCAGGUCUGGUGCAACAGCACGGCGGGGAGGGCGAAGGAAGGAGCCUGGCAUCAGGAGACCCCCAAAAUGGGUCCCAGUGUGCAGGACAGCUACCAGAGAGGAGACUGGGAAAAGAAGCGCCCUCCCCCUGGAAGCAGAGGGGUUUGAGCUCUCGCCUCUGACGCAGUUUUGCUCCGAGAUAUAAAUAAAAA